rnacentral:rRNA from 1 species
CCUACGGGAGGCAGCAGUGGGGAAUUUUGGACAAUGGGCGCAAGCCUGAUCCAGCAAUGCCGCGUGAGUGAAGAAGGCCUUCGGGUUGUAAAGCUCUUUUGUCAGGGAAGAAACGGUCUACUCUAAUACAGUGGGCUAAUGACGGUACCUGAAGAAUAAGCACCGGCUAACUACGUGCCAGCAGCCGCGGUAAUACGUAGGGUGCAAGCGUUAAUCGGAAUUACUGGGCGUAAAGCGUGCGCAGGCGGUUAUAUAAGUCAGAUGUGAAAUCCCCGGGCUCAACCUGGGAACUGCAUUUGAGACUGUAUGGCUAGAGUGUGUCAGAGGGGGGUAGAAUUCCACGUGUAGCAGUGAAAUGCGUAGAUAUGUGGAGGAAUACCGAUGGCGAAGGCAGCCCCCUGGGAUAACACUGACGCUCAUNCACGAAGACGUGGGAGGACGAACAGAGUAGUAUACCUACGGUAGUACCGACCGACCCGUAACCGAACUAGUCUACUAGUU